GUGGUGGCUCAGUGGUCGAGUGCUCGCCUAUCAUGCAUGAGGUGCUGGGUUCAAUCUUCGGCACUACA
rnacentral:tRNA from 1 species